UACAGAGGGUGCAAGCGUUAAUCGGAAUUACUGGGCGUAAAGCGUGCGUAGACGGUUGCGUAAGUCAGAUGUGAAAGCCCCGGGCUCAACCUGGGAAUUGCAUUUGAGACUGCGUAGCUAGGGUGCGGAAGAGGGAAGCGGAAUUUCCGGUGUAGCGGUGAAAUGCGUAGAUAUCGGAGGGAACACCAGUGGCGAAAGCGGCUUCCUGGUCCAGCACCGACGUUCAGGCACGAAAGCGUGGGGAGCAAACAGG
rnacentral:rRNA from 1 species